rnacentral:lncRNA from 1 species
UUUUUUUUUUUUUUCCUUUGUUUUGUAAAAAUGAUUCUUAAGUAUUUAGACGGGUGGAGGAUUUCCUUCAUCCUAAACCUGACAGUUUUUUUAAUACAGCAAGUUGGAUUAUAUUACAUUUUAUUUAAUUACAACAAAUUUAUUUUACUUUUAUGUAUAUUUGAUGCUUAUAUUUUUGUUCAUUUAUGUUUUAACAAUGUACAAUGGUUUGCGGCAGUUAAGGGGGGUACCUGUUGGCUGUUGUACAUGUAUUCUAUAUCAUUAAAAGUAAUUUUUAUGUGUUUCUUUUCAUUUGAUGAUAAUUCUAUUUAUGAAUAUAGGAAUAUUGAUUAUUAUUAUAAAUGUAUUGUGUUUGUUUUGUUAAGCUUUAGUACAAUUAUAUAUACUACUUUAUCUGUACAGUCGUAUAAACAACUCUACCCAGAUAAUGUAUCCUUAUCUAAUGAAAAUAUUUUUCAUAAUGAUUUAAUGUUACAUAUAGUUAUUGACUUAUUUGAUAUAUUUGAAUUAUUAUUUACUUUUAUAAAGCUUUCUUAUAUUUUAAAAAAAACAAAUUUUUGGAUUAAAACCUUAGUAGGAGUGUUAAUAUCGUCAUCAUUAUAUCUAAAUGCUUAUUCCUUUCCAAUUAUAUCUAUUAUAACAGAAAAAAAUAAGAAAAAAAAAUUAGACUUGGGUGAUAUAUAUUUUUGUAAAAAACAUGCUGCUGUUAUUGGAAUUAUAUUAAUUGAUGUACCAUUUAUGUUAUUACGUUUAUAUUUUUUGACUUUUCAUUUUUCAAAUAUACAAUUACAUCCAUUGCUAAUUAAAAAUAUAUGUUUCAUCCCUAUCAAUUGUAUAAACAUUAAGUAUUGUAACAUGGCUUUCGAUAAAUUAAAAAAAAGUGUUAUAGAUACUGCACAGGAAGAAUACAACGAUAGGUCAGGUUAUUUAUUUAGAAAUGAUAAUAAUGCUAGCUAUAAAAAAAACUACCGACGUAACAUUAACAAGCAUCGAAGCGAUUGUACUAACAAAAAAGAAAGUAAUGAUGUGCAUAAUGCAUUUGCUAUGCAAAAUAAAAACAUGUCUAAUACUGUAAACGUGUUAAAUCAUGCAUCGAAAUUGUUUUUUCAUAACAUGAAAAAUAAUU